GCCGUGGUGCGCAAACGCGCCGGGCGCCUCCGAAGCGAAUUCUGCGCGCGGAAGCCCUGGAGGAGGCGCAGGUUAUAGUGCCUUGAGGGAAGCAGCGGUUCCACGUGCUCCUCUCGCGGCGGGUUGAAACCGUUGGCGGGCGCUGGCUAAGAGAUGCAGACUCUAGCUCAGAUCCUCUGGCCCUGAGUCCAGGCCCAGGUCAACAGAAGGUGGCCACCAGCUUGAUAAAAGGAGACUGAGGUGCCUGAAUUGCUUCACAGGUUCCCAGCUUCUAGAGAUGCUGUCUGCUACCCAUCAGCUCAGCACUGCUGUUCAAUAUCCAUCAUCCUCUGCUGUGACAUGGGUGGUCUCCUUGUUCACUGUGGCUUAACUUAAGAAUAAAAGACCUUUAGGAUCGUAA